GACGAACGCUGGCGGCGUGCUUAACACAUGCAAGUCGAACGGAAAGGCCCUGCUUUUGUGGGGUGCUCGAGUGGCGAACGGGUGAGUAACACGUGAGUAACCUGCCCUUGACUUUGGGAUAACUUCAGGAAACUGGGGCUAAUACCGGAUAGGAGCUCCUGCUGCAUGGUGGGGGUUGGAAAGUUUCGGCGGUUGGGGAUGGACUCGCGGCUUAUCAGCUUGUUGGUGGGGUAUUGGCUUACCAAGGCUUUGACGGGUAGCCGGCCUGAGAGGGUGACCGGCCACAUUGGGACUGAGAUACGGCCCAGACUACUACGGGAGGCAGCAGUGGGGAAUAUUGCACAAUGGGCGGAAGCCUGAUGCAGCAACGCCGCGUGCGGGAUGACGGCCUUCGGGUUGUAAACCGCUUUCGCCUGUGACGAAGCGUGAGUGACGGUAAUGGGUAAAGAAGCACCGGCUAACUACGUG
rnacentral:rRNA from 1 species